GUAAGGGUGGUCAGGCAUUUAGUCUACAUCAAACCCAGUAAGAAAAUUGGAGUCAACCCCCUUGUCAUAAUCCCCACUCUCAUUAUAGUGUCCUAUGAUCAAGAAGAAACUCCCAACUGUAGCUUCACUCUGAGGAAAAAAAGAGUUGUGCCACAUAUCCAAUAUCUCAAUUUUUGGAGUGUUGCCUGAGUGACUGGUUCCUCUCUUACCUAUCUCAGAGUGUUGAUAUGACCCAGCAUGUUUUACAUUCCUGGGAGCCACGGAGAAUAAAGGAUGCAGUCUGAACUAUGUCCUCCCCCUGGACCAGCAGAAAGUGAACAGGUGAAAAACUCCAAAUGGAAUUGGAUGCCACAUCCAAUGUUGCAACUUCGGAUGCUUCCAAGGGAUUUGCCUCUGUCUCACCUGUCUUGGAGCACUGACAAAUUCUAAUAUACUCUGGAUGUCCAGUGAACACUAAGAGCAAAGAUAGUGGUUUUUACUAGCACAAAACUUUUAGAGGCCCACAGAGGCUUUGGCUGAGUUGAUCAGUGAAGGUCUUCUCCUGUAUGAGGCCAAUCCAGACUGGGGGAAGUGGCAGUUUUUUCCUAAUGUACAGAUAGUAACACAGUGAACACACACACACACACACACACAGACACACACCCCAAAUUGGGAAACCUAUUUUAUGACUGAGUAAGCCAAAGUGGACUGUGACUCAGCAAGGGACUCCUCUUUCUUCCUAUUUGACCUCCAAAUUUCAGUUUGCAAGAAGGAAGGGGAAAGAGCAUCCCCACCACCAUCCCUAUGGUCCCACAAUAAGUUUUGUGUUUUCAGGGUAAAGAGAGA
rnacentral:lncRNA from 10 species